UGAUCAGGCACGAAGGGCGCACGGCGGAUGUCUUGGCGUCGAGAGGCGAUGAAGGACGCGAAAACCUGCGAUAAGCCCUAGGGAGCCGGUAAAUAGGCAGAGAUCUAGGGAUUUCCGAAUGGGGCAACCCACCCGCAAGGGUAUUCGGCACUGAAUGCAUAGGUGCCGAAAGCGAACGUGGAGAAGUGAAACAUCUCAGUACCCACAGGAAAAGAAAGCAACAGCGAUUCCGCAAGUAGCGGCGAGCGAACGCGGAUGAACCAAUUGUGCGAGUGAAGUGUCUGGAAAGACACGCUCCAGAAGGUGAAAGCCCUGUAGCCGCACGUUGGGGAUGCCCACGAGUAAACUCGGGCUCGGGAAACCCGGGUUGAAUAUGGGGGGUCCACCCUCCAAGGCUAAAUACUCCUCGACGACCGAUAGCGAACCAGUAAGGCGACUGAACGAUGAAAACUACCGCGACGAGCGGGGUGAAAGAGUAGCUGAAACCGUGCGCUUACAAGCGGUCGGAGCCUCCUCCAAAAGAGGGGUGACGGCGUGCUUUUUGCAUAAUGAGCCGACGAGUUAGCCUAUGCGGCGAGCCUAAGGUCUACCGGACCGGAGGCGGAGCGAAAGCGAGUCUGAAACUGGCGAUCAGUCUCAUGGGCUAGACGCGAAACCUUGUGAUCUACCGUUGGUCAGACUGAAGGGCGGGUAAAACCGCCUGGAGGGUCGAACGCGUGAACGUUGAAAAGUUCUGCGAUGAACUGACGGGAGGGGUCAAAGUCCAAUCAAACUGGGAGAUAGCUCGUUCUCUCCGAAAUAACUCUAGGGUUAGCCUCAGCAAGCAAACUAUGGAGGUAGAGCGACUGGAUGGUCUGAGCGGCCUACCCGGCUAGCCGGACCAACCAAACUCCGAAUGCCAUAGUUCAAGCGCUGGGAGAUAGACGGCGAGUGACAAUAUCCGUCGUCAAAAGGAGAAAAAUCCAGACCACCAGCUAAGGUCCCCAAUUUCUGCUCAGUCAAAGGAAGUCAGGUUGCCGUGACAUCCAGGAUGUUGGCUUAGAAGCAGCCAUCAUUUAAAGAGUGCGUAACAGCUCACUGGACGAGGAAUCUGGCGCCGAUAAUGAUCGGGAAUAAGCAGAAAACCGAAGCUGUGGACUCAAUAGCAAUAUUGAGUGGUAGGAGAGCGUUCUUGGUGCAUCGAAGCUGUACUGUAAAGUUAGGUGGAGCGCCAAGAAGUGCAUAUGUCGGCUUGAGUAACGAUUAGACAGGUGAGAAUCCUGUCCGCCAUAUAUCCAAGGUUUCCUGGGGAAGGUAAAUCCGCCCAGGGUUAGCCGGGUCCUAAGGCGAGGCCGAAAGGCGUAGUCGAUGGAAGUCGGGUCAAUAUUCCCGAGCACCUGCGUAGAUCAAUCCGUUGUGCGGAUUUCCGGAGUUCACGGCCCUGUUGGAUGGGCAGGCCCUUGUGGCCGAUGUGAGCAAAGGGAGUUCCUAGAAAAGCAGCGGUGGCGAAACAGGUCCCGUACCAAAACUGACACAGGUGGAUGAGGCGAAUAGCCUAAGGCGCUCGAGAGAACGGUCGUGAAGGAACUAGGCAACAUAACCCCGUAAGUUCGCGAGAAGGGGGCCCUACUCCGCAAGGAAAGGGCGCAGAGAAAAGGAUCUGGGAACUGUUUAUCAAAAACACAGCUCUGUGCAAAGGUGUAAACCGAAGUAUACAGAGUGACGCUUGCCCGAUGCCGGAAUGUCAAGGAAGUGGCUAAGCGAAAGCGAAGGUCGCGACCGAAGCACCGGCGAAUGGCGGCCGUAACUAUGACGGUCCUAAGGUAGCGAAGUUCCUUGUCGGGUAAGUUCCGACGCGCAUGAAUAGCGUAAUCACUGGAUCACUGUCUCCACGACCGACUCGGUGAAAUAGUAGUGGCGGUGAAGAUACCGCCUACCCGCAGCAAGACGGAAAGACCCCGUGGACCUUUACUAUAGGCUCCUAUUGACCACGAGCAUAUUCUGCGUAGCAUAGGUGGGAGGCUUUGAAGCCUGGAUUCCGGUCCAGGAUUAGCCAAAGGUGAAAUACCACCCUGAGUAAGUUUGUGGUCUAACCUCGUUUCCCGUGAAUCCGGGCGAGGGACAGUUGGUGUCGGGUAGUUUGACUGGGGCGGUCUCCUCCAAAAGAGUAACGGAGGAGCACAAAGUUCGGCUCAGCACGGAUGGAAACCGUGUGUCGAGUGUAAGAGCACAAGCCGGAUUUACUGCGAGACCGACGGGUCGAGCAGUUACGAAAGUAGGUUCUAGUGAUCCUGCGAUCCCGUGUGGAAGGGUCGUAGCUCAACGGAUAAAAGGUACCCCGGGGAUAACAGGCUGAUCGCUCCCGAGCGUCCAUAGCGGCGGAGCGGUUUGGCACCUCGAUGUCGGCCCAUCACAUCCUGGGACUGAAGGCGGCCCCAAGGGUUCGGCUGUUCGCCGAUUAAAGUGGUACGCGAGCUGGGUUCAGACCGGCGUGAGCCAGGUCGGUCCCUAUCUGUUGUGGGCGUCGCAAACUUGACGGGAAUCAACCUUAGUACGAGAGGAUUGGGUUGGACAUACCCCUGGUGAUCCAGUUGCACUGCCAAGUGCACCGCUGGGUAGCUACGUAUGGCAGGGAUAAACGCUGAAAGCAUCUAAGCGUGAAGCCCCCCCGGAGAUGAGGUUUGCUUGUCGUAAGACGGAAGACCCCUGGAAGACCACCAGGUUGAUCGGCCGCGCGUGUACGGGCAGUAAUGCCUUCAGCGGAGCGGUACGAACGGUCGAAUGUCUGAUCACC
rnacentral:rRNA from 1 species